UCUCUUAAUUCCUGCUCAUUACUCCCGGCUGUGAGUUGGAGUUUGAGGUGCCUGAGCUCCUUAUACUAACUUCUUGAGGAUACGAAGAAGGGGAAAGCCCAAGCAAUCUUCUUAGAUAUCCUUCUGGACCCAUGGGCAAGAGAAAGGUGAAAGCAGAAAAUGCCGGAGAGUGAAACUGACGGAGAGGACUGACACAGGAUCAAAAGUUAACAUUCAAAAAUAAUUC
rnacentral:lncRNA from 1 species